AAGGUAGCAUAAUCAAUCGUUUAUUAAUUAUAAUCUAGUAUAAAAGGAUACACAGAAAAUCCCUUUUUUAAUUUAUUAUCUAAAAUUUAAUUUAUGAUUGAAAAAUAUCAUAUAUUUCAAAAAGACCAAAAGACCCUGACGAGCUAAAGUUUCAUAAAUCAAUAUAAAUUUAUAAUUGGGGCGAUUAAAGAUAUAUUUCAUCUUUUAAGUAUACAAACUAUAAUUUUAUCUUAUAACCCCUCAAAUCAGUUACCGCAGGGAUAACAGGCUUUCUUAUUUUGAGAGUUCACAUCAACAAAUAUUUUUAGCACCUCGAUGUUGGCUUAAGGGAUCCUUUAAACGUAGCCGUUUAAGUUGAGAGGGUUUGUUCCACCCAUUAUUCCUUACGUGAUCUGAGUUCAGACCGGA
rnacentral:rRNA from 1 species